ACGGGUGCGUAACACGUAUGUAACCUACCUUAUCCAGGGGGAUAGCCUCUCGAAAGAGAGAUUAAGACCGCAUAACAUCAUUGAGCAGCAUUGCUUGAUGAUCAAAUAUUUAUAGGGAUAAGAUGGGCAUGCGGGACAUUAGCUAGUUGGCGGGGUAACGGCCCACCAAGGCGACGAUGUCUAGGGGAUCUGAGAGGAUGACCCCCCACACUGGUACUGAGACACGGACCAGACUCCUACGGGAGGCAGCAGUAAGGAAUAUUGGUCAAUGGGCGGAAGCCUGAACCAGCCAUGCCGCGUGCAGGAAGACGGCCCUACGGGUUGUAAACUGCUUUUGCAGGGGAAUAAACCCAGUUACGUGUAACUGGCUGAAUGUACUCUGAGAAUAAGGAUCGGCUAACUCCGUGCCAGCAGCCGCGGUAAUACGGAGGAUCCAAGCGUUAUCCGGAUUUAUUGGGUUUAAAGGGUGCGUAGGCGGCCUAUUAAGUCAGGGGUGAAAGACGGUAGCUUAACUAUCGCAGUGCCUUUGAUACUGAUGGGCUUGAAUGAACUAGAGGUAGGCGGAAUGUGACAAGUAGCGGUG
rnacentral:rRNA from 1 species